GCUUGUCUCAAAGAUUAAGCCAUGCAUGUCUAAGUAUAACUCUUUUACUUUGAAAACUGCGAACGGCUCAUUAUAUCAGUUAUAGUUUCUUUGAUAGUCCCUUACUACUUGGAUACCCGUAGUAAUUCUAGAGCUAAUACAUGCGUCAAGUCCCUACCGCGCGAGCGGGAAGGAUGUGUUUAUUAGAUACAACCAACCCUUCGGGUCCCUGGUGAAUCAUAAUAACCGAACGAACCGCAUGCUUCGGCGGCGGUGGUUCAUUCAAGUUUCUGCCCUAUCAGCUUUCGAUGGUAGGGUAUUGGCCUACCAUGGCGUUAACGGGUAACGGAGAAUUAGGGUUCGAUUCCGGAGAGGGAGCCUGAGAGAUGGCUACCACAUCCAAGGAAGGCAGCAGG
rnacentral:rRNA from 1 species